rnacentral:tRNA from 1 species
GGCUCAAUGGUCUAGUCGUAUGAUUCUUGCUUUGGGUACCACGCACUGCAAGAGGCCCGUAAGUUCCAUUGUGAAAUCCAGCUUUGUGCCAACGCCUUCUAACACCGCAGCAGCGGGUUCAAAUCCCGGUUGAGCCC